rnacentral:rRNA from 1 species
UACGUAGGGGGCAAGCGUUGUCCGGAAUCAUUGGGCGUAAAGCGCGCGUAGGUGGCCCGGUAAGUCCGCUCUGAAAGUCAAAGGCUCAACCUUUGAAAACGGGUGGAUACUGUCGGGCUAGAGUCCGGAAGAGGCGAGUGGAAUUCCUGGUGUAGCGGUGAAAUGCGCAGAUAUCGGGAGGAACACCAGCGGCGAAGGCGGCCAUCUGGACGGUGACUGACGCUGAGACGCGAAAGCGUGGGGAGCAA